rnacentral:rRNA from 1 species
UACGGGGGGGGGUAGCGUUGUUCGGAAUUACUGGGCGUAAAGGGCUCGUAGGCGGCCAACUAAGUCAUACGUGAAAUCCCUCAGCUUAACUGGGGAACUGCGUGUGAUACUGGAUGGCUUGGAUUUGGGAGAGGGAUGCGGAAUUCCAGGUGUAGCGGUGAAAUGCGUAGAUAUUGGGAGGAACAUCGGUGGCGAAGGCGGCUACCUGGACGGGUACUGACGCUGAUGCGCGAAGCUAGGGGAGCAAACAGG